CCCAAAACUUUACAUGUUUUAAAGAUUUGUUUUGUCCCCUCCGUGAAUUUACCACUGAUUGAAAUCAUAUGCUGUGUCCCUGAGAGCUUGCCUGGUGGCCCGUGGAUGAUGGAUCGGUGACUGCUGCUCUUCAGGAGGGGGGAGGGGAGCAGGGGAAGCCUGUUCUUAGAGCAUCAAGUCACGACUUUGACUACUAGAGACUUGCUGUUUCCCUAGGGCAGCUGUCCCCGAUGUAGAGGCAAGACAGAUUCUAUCUGACGACAGCGAAGUUCUUUCUAAAGACAACAGGAAGCCCCAUUUCUCAGUUCUCUUCCAAAGUGACUCCAAUAUACCUGCUGACCUCUUUUCUAAAAUUAGUUUCACGGAAGGCGUGAUUGAUUUCAAGCACUUUAUAGAUUUAAUUUAACGUUCAUUCCCUCUUGUCUUAUUGCCCAGCUUGAGUAGAGAUGAUCAUCCGGAUGAUUAGAGAAAGAAAGCAAGGCCCUGACGGCUACUUUGGGGGCCGAAUGCCGAACUCUCUUCUCCCUGAGUUGGAAGCUGGGCCCCACAGAGACGUGCCAUUCUUGAACGAAACGCUUAUUUGAUUCAACCCGAAGUCAACAACAUCAGUGAAGCAUAAUUUCAGGACUGUGGGUCUUUUCUCUGAUUUGUACUUGAGAAAGUUGCGCUGCCCAGGGGGUAGUUCUGUUCCUACGAUCCGUAUCCUGGUGAAUCGGUAAAAUAAAGGCCUGCUACCUCCCACCAGGGGGAAUCCAAACCCUCCUGAGGUGGUAGGUAUGCCGCAAACUCUAACUCAAGCCUGUAACCUUCUGAAAUUCCUUUCCGUUCUUAGAGAUGGCACUUAUCUUUUCUCUAAUUUUUCGUUCUCACUUGUCCACACCAGGGCAGGCCACACUGAUACGGUUCAUACCACUUAUCUGGUGUGCACUGAGCAUCUAACGAUACCACAGGCCCAUUCUGGGAGGGGUGCGUAAUGAGAUUUCAUCUACUGUUUCUUUCCUUUGAGACUGGCUGGUCUGGCUAUUGACAUACUGUGGUAACUAGUCACUAACACACUUCCUGUAUCCCGUUAUACUCGUAAGUUAAAGAAACCUGAAUGGUAGACAGAUCUCAGCCUUUAAGGCCAAAGAAAUGAAUGGAAAUAAUUCUCUUUAUUGUCUGUUAUCUAAGAAGCAGGUUUACUUCGCGUGAACUCACUGAGAAAGACUCAUACUGUUGUUAUUGUAGGUCUUGGUCUGUGCUUCCUCGUGUUCACCGUGCCGUUCAGGAACAAAAACUUGGAUACAUGAUGCGAUGAUUAAAUAACACCGAGGAUGACGGUUUGGUUACUUUUAUAAAACAAUCUGGCAAAGACGAUGCAGGAGGGUUCGCACCUGAGGCCUCUUUUCACAGUGGACACCAGGGGGCGACACUUACGCAGGCAUAUCUCAGAGAUCAUGUGGGUUUGGUUCCAGACCCCUGCAGUAAAGUGAAUACGGCAGUAAAGCAAGUCGAAUGAAUAUUUUGGUCUCCAGUGCAUAUAAAAGUUAUGCUUAUGCUAAACUGUAGUCUAUCCAGAAUACAAUAACAUUAUGUAUUAAAAAAAAAAACACAAUGUAUAUACCUUAUGUAAAAAAAAAAAACCUUACUGCUAAAAAAUGCUAACCAUCAUCCAAGCUUCCGGCAAGCUGUUAAUCACUUGAUCGCAGAUCACCAUAACAAAUACAAUCAUGAAAAAGUUUGGACUAUCGCAACAAUUACCAGAAUGUGACACAGAGACGGGAACAAAUGCUGUUGGAAAAAUGGCACCAGUUGACUUGCUCAAUGCAAGGUUGCUACAAACCUUCAGUUUGUAAACAAAACAAAACAAAACAAAACAAAACAAAACACUGUCUGCGAAGUGCAAUAAAACAAGGUACCUGUAUUUAGAGAUUUCAACAUUUAGCAGAGAAGUGACAUCUGCCUCCAGAUGUGGCCUCCAGAAGUGGGAUGCCUUCAUGAGGGACUUUGGUUUUUAUGUUUGAAACACUUUUCCUCACUUUACCUCCCAAGUGUCGUUUAUUCAUCCUUCACGACACAACUCAAAGACUUCAGCCUCUGAGGAACCAUAACUAACUUCCCUGGCCAACUUAACUGCCCCUGUCUGUCCUGCCAUUGACUUUGAAUACAACUGUGUUGUAGAAACCCUAUUGUCUACUGUUGCAAGCCUCUGUAAGCCCCACCCAUGACUUGCCAAAGCAUCUGGCAUCUACUUAUUGCUUCCUUCAUACUUGUUGGUAAAUACACAUCACUGUGAGAGACUGCUGAGUCUAUUACCAUUAUUUCCCCUCUUACUUCUACAAUCCCUGUAAAGGCAAUAACUUUAAAAUACUGAUAAGAUAUCACUGCCCGUAAUAUUACUUGGCUGCCCACUGUUGACCCAAAACAUCUUUUUGGUAGGUUAACUCCUUCAAUGCCAAAUUAACACAACAAUUUCUAGUGAUCGAUCUUCUUUCCAGUAAUAGCUACAGCCCUGCGUUGACAUCUUUUUUUAUUUUCCGGAGGAAAGACACGGAAGCCAUGGGUGUCUCAUGGCGUCUCCAUUCACAAUCCCUUCGUCCUUCCCUACUGUUGGCAAAGACCUUGGGAACGUGUUGAAAUUCUGAUGGCCUCCUGGGGGGAUUAGCAUUCUUCCUUGCCACGAGGUGUGUACAGGAAGUCCUUAAUACGGUGUAAAAGUGAACAGGUUGUUCUAAAAAAAAAAUAAGUCACUUAAAAGAAAGUACACAGGGGAGGAGAAGAGGGAGAGUCAUUGAUCAGUGGGUAUAGUUUCAGUUCUGCAAGAUGAGUAACUUCUAGACAUGCACUGAACAACAUCGUGCCUACAGACAACCAUACCGCAAGAUACAUUUAAAAAUCUAUUUAAAGAGUAGAUCUCAUGUUAAGGGUCUUACCGUACAAUAAAGAAAAAGAAGAAAGAGAGAGGGGAGAAAACGUGGACUGUUUCUUCCUCUGUUUUAAAUCACUUACGGUUUGGUCCUCCACACGCGGAAAGCACAAUUCCACUAAUGACUGUAAUGAACAGAGUACGUAUCUCCAGACACUAGGAGCUCCUCAGAGGUCAUGAUUUUUUCCUUGUGUUUUUAGAAACCAGCCACACAGACCAUUAGAAAGCACAGCAACCAUGCACGAAAAGCUAAUCAUUGUGUGUGUGUGUGUGUGUGCGCGCGCGCGCGUGCGUGUGUGCGCAUGUGACCUGAGUGAUCCCAGUGCUUUAUUACAAAUGAUAGGGCAUAACUUUUGUGGCUUCAGGAAACUCACCACGCUGAAGCCACCCUGAGGAAGGUUUUCACAAAAAAUUUCAUACCAUGAAUGAAAUGCCAAGAGCAACACGUUUGUAAGAGAACAAAAUACAUCGAGAGACUUAGGCCAUCUCUGUUCCUUACAAAACCCGUGUCAGAGGGCUGACUGGUGACCCUUUGGUGGAGUGAGUUCAGUGAAGCAAGUGUCAGCAGUAGAUUGCCCUGGGUCAAGAGCAAAUGGGAGAAGAGGAAGGAGAGAAAUAAGGUCUUUAGAUGAUUCUUUCCAGUUGUUUGCCUGGAAGGGGAGGCGAGAGAGAGUGCUGUAGCCAUAGAGAUUCCAGGGCUGAGGGAGGUUUUAUUCUUGUUUGUUUAUUUAAUACGCGGGAGAAGCUUUUAUGCUGCUGAGGAGAAGGAGCCAGGGGAGGGGAGAGGAACCAUCCAGAAAGCAAGAGGCUGGAAGCAGCGAUCUGAUGAAGGGGAAGCUCCCCUUUGCCUCUGACACCAGAGGGGGUGAGGAGGAUGUUGAGUAAAUAUU